UAUAUUUUAGUUUAUUUUUUUUAAAAUUUAGUUUUGAAGAUACUAAGAAGAUAAUAUUU
rnacentral:tRNA from 1 species